GCGGGACGCGCCUCUCUCCUCCCGAACCUUCCCCCGCUCGUCCCUUUCCACACCCCUGACCUCUGAGCGCGGCCGUUCCCGCCACACAUGGAGGGGGGCGGGUGGAGACCCGGGAGGACCGAAGUCACGGGGGCUGUGGGGCCAGGACAGUCCCACAUGUGCCCCUCCUGGGCGGAGGACAAACUGGAGCCAGGAGAAGCCCCAAGGGCUCCACGCGUUCCCCUCCAGGACCCCUCCUGGGGACCCCGAGCCGCGGCCUGGAAAGCCCAUCGUGUUUGCAUCAUCACCUAGAAAUGGUGGGAAGUCGGGUCAAGAGGCCUGAGAAAUGACCGUUUAGAGACGAAAUUCCCUCUAAGGAAGACCCCCUCGCCCAAGGGCAGUGAAGAGAUUGGGGGCCCCAUGCCUGUCUCCUGUGGGCUGAUUCUGUGGGAGCCAUGGCAGCUUCCCCACAGACCUCUUUGGGCCAAGCGACCCUGGAGCAGGGAAGGACAGGAGGGGAGUCAGGCCAGGGGGGUCCAGGGCAGUGGGGCUGAAGCCCCUUCCUGAACCCAGGGAAAGGGAAGCAGUGGGGCCCACCCAGGGGGCCCGGUACCCCAGAUAGUGACAUUUCAGAUACCGGAGCUGUCUCCACCCCACCCCAUCCCCAGGCAGCUUAAGGGGAAAACUUCUGGGAGCCCAGCCCUACAGAGGCCUACCAGGAAGGUUAAGUCAGCCUGGCCUUUGCCGGGGGCAGUGUGGUCGGCACCCGCAGAACGCUGGAGGGGUGUGGGGGUCGGUCCUCAUCACUCCAAACAGACACACACACAUCUAGUUCUUAAGGGGAGAAGCAGCUCCUCCCCCAGGAUGCUGAGAGGAAGCCCCAUAAGCUGCUUGGGCAGAGGCCUCUGCAGCUGCCCCAGGGGAGAUGGGGGUCACCCACUCAUCACAGGCUGGGGAGCCCCUGGGAGACGCACAGGAUGAUGCUCUGGGUGGGGAAGCCUCUACAGGUGGCUGCAGCAGAAGUGGUUUUCAAUAUUAUUAGCCCGUCCCUGCGUCCCCAGGGCUCCCUCCGCCCCAAUCCUCCUGGCUCAGGCACCAGCGCUGUCUCUUGCCGCCCCUCCCUGCAGCUGUCACCCUCCCACCGUCCCUGACUAGCACACAGGAUUGGGAGGGCCAAGCAGGCACCUGGAGCUUGGCAGGGAGGGGGCGUGCAUCUCCAAUGAGACGCUCCAGAAAUAGAGCUUCGGCAUGGGAAGGGAACGAGCAGGCUCUCGGAGGACCGCGAGGCCGGAGGAGCCAUGAGGGGCCAAGGGCAUCUCUUCUUCCCACCUGGAACUCUCGGAAGACAGCCCAGGGGAAAGGUGGAAACGGGCGUGAGCUGCCGCCACCAGGAGCCACCAGCCCAGGAGGCAGCAGCACCGUCCCCUCCUCAAAACAACAACAAGCAAGAACGCUCGGGCCCUCUCCCCACACUGUGGGGUUUUCCUGAUGGCCACAUCCGGCGCUGACUGUGAGGGAGCUAUGGAUGUAUGCUUCUGCGUCAGAAAACCGAGGCCCUGAGCAGCUGAGUAACCCACUCAGAGGGGAGCUUUCCCGACCCACCAGACCAGGAAGGCCUGCGUCGUUCCCUGCUUCUGAAUGCUCAGGACUCUUGUAAACGUUCAAUGCCUGUCUCUCCUGCUAGACUGAGGUCUCUUGGAGGAUAGGAACCACAUCUGUUAUUCACUGUAACCCCAGGACCUUGCACAAAUAGUUUCAGUGAAUGAAUGAGCAAGUGUGAAUGAAUGAAUGACCAAGCAUAUUCCUGGUCACAAAGAGCCUGGAAUGAGGCAGUACAGGUGUUCCACCCAGCCCACCUCCACCAGCUGGAAAAGAACUGUUUGGCUGGUUGAGACGUCGCGUCGAGAAUGACCACCCUCUCUGGAAAGAUGCAAAGAAAGAACAAAUGGCCCCUAGGAUGGGAUUUGGGGUGGGAGAAUUGCUGUUCCAAUUAAUUCUCUAACUGCUCACAAAAAACCCUAACUGAAAAUUCCCCAGUGCACAGGGUUCCCUUGUUCAGCAGCCAGUAUUGGAGGCUGUACUCCUUUCUAUCCAAUCAGGCUCCAACAUGGAAACGGCAUAGAAACCCAGAAAUGGUUCAGCCCACUAAGGGAACUUCGGUCUCAGUUCUCAGAGUCCUUCUCCGAGGCCUGUCCCAAAUUUGCAAUAAAACUUGUUUUUAGGCCAGGCACGGUGGCU
rnacentral:lncRNA from 1 species